CAGUGCAGCUCGAGCGGGACCGCACCAAAGGACCUCAGCAGCCAUGUCAAAGCCGCAUAGCGAUGUCAGCACUGCCUUCAUCCAGACCCAGCAGCUGCACGCGGCCAUGGCCGACACAUUCUUGGAAUACAUGUGCUGUCUGGACAUUGACUCGCCACCCAUCACGGCCCGGAACACUGGCAUCAUCUGUACCAUCGGCCCAGCUUCCGGAUCGGUGGAGAUGCUGAAGGAGAUGAUUAAGUCUGGAAUGAAUGUGGCUUGUAUGAACUUCUCUCAUGGAACCCACGAGUACCAUGCAGAGACCAUCAAAAACGUGCCCACCGCCACAGAAAGCUUUGCUUCCAACCCCAUUCUCUGCUGACCAGUUGCCAUGGCCCUGGACACCAAAGGACCCGAGAUCCAAACUGGGCUCAUCAAGGGCAGUGGCACUGCAGAGGUAGAGCUGGAGAAAGGGGGUGCUGACUUCCUGGUGACGGAGGUGGAGAACGGUGGCUCCUUGGGGAGCAAGAAGGGUGUGAACCUCCCCGGGGCUGCUGUGGACUUGCCUGCUGUGUCAGAAAAGGACAUCCAGGAUCUGAAAUUUGGGGUGGAACAGAAUGUAGAUAUGGUGUUUGCAUCUUUCAUCCGCAAGGCCUCAGAUGUCCAUGAAGUCAGGAAGGUCCUGGGAGAGAAAGGGAAGAACAUCAAGAUAAUCAGCAAAAUUGAGAAUCAUGAGGGAGUUCGGAGGUUUGAUGAGAUCCUGGAAGCCAGCGAUGGCAUCAUGGUGGCUCGUGGUGAUCUAGGCAUUGAGAUUCCCGCAGAGAAGUUCUUCCUUCCUCAGAAGAUGAUGAUUGGGUGGUGCAACCGAGUCGGGAAGCCUGUCAUCUGUGCAACGCAGAUGCUGGAGAGCAUGAUCAAGAAGCCCCGUCCCACCCGGGCUGAAGGCAGCGAUGUGGCCAAUGCAGUCUUGGAUGGAGCGGACUGCAUCAUGCUGUCUGGAGAGACAGCCAAAGGGGACUAUCCACUUGAGGCGGUUCACAUGCAGCACCUGGCCGCCUGGCGCCCAUUACCAACGACCCCACAGAAGCCACCACCGUGGGCGCCGUGGAGGCCUCCUUCAAGUGCUGCAGUGGGGCCAUAAUCGUCCUCACUAAGUCUGGCAGGUCUGCUCACCAGGUGGCUAAAUACCGCCCCCACGCCCCCAUCAUUGCUGUGACCCGGAAUCACCAGACUGCUCGCCAGGCCCACCCCUGUACUAGGACAUCUUUCCUGUGGUGUGUAAGGACCCAGUGCAGGAGGCCUGGGCUGAGGAUGUGGACCUCCGGGUGAACUUGGCCAUGAAUGUUGGCAAGGCCCGAGGGUUCUUCAAGAAGGGCGAUGUGGUCAUUGUGCUGACCGGGUGGCGCCCUGGCUCCGGCUUCACCAACACCAUGCGUGUCGUGCCUGUGCCGUGAUGGGCCCCAGAGACCCUCCUUUUCGAGCCCCUGGGCCAUCCCCUUUCCCCAACCCAUCCCUUAGGCCAGCAAUGCUUGU